GACGAACGCUUGCGGCGUGCUUAACACAUGCAAGUCGAACGGAAAGGCCCUGCUUUUGUGGGGUGCUCGAGUGGCGAACGGGUGAGUAACACGUGAGUAACCUGCCCUUGACUUUGGGAUAACUUCAGGAAACUGGGGCUAAUACCGGAUAGGAGCUCCUGCUGCAUGGUGGGGGUUGGAAAGUUUCGGCGGUUGGGGAUGGACUCGCGGCUUAUCAGCUUGUUGGUGGGGUAGUGGCUUACCAAGGCUUUGACGGGUAGCCGGCCUGAGAGGGUGACCGGCCACAUUGGGACUGAGAUACGGCCCAGACUCCUACGGGAGGCAGCAGUGGGGAAUAUUGCACAAUGGGCGGAAGCCUGAUGCAGCAACGCCGCGUGCGGGAUGACGGCCUUCGGGUUGUAAACCGCUUUCGCCUGUGACGAAGCGUGAGUGACGGUAAUGGGUAAAGAAGCACCGGCUAACUACGUGCCAGCAGCCGCGGUGAUACGUAGGGUGCGAGCGUUGUCCGGAUUUAUUGGGCGUAAAGGGCUCGUAGGUGGUUGAUCGCGUCGGAAGUGUAAUCUUGGGGCUUAACCCUGAGCGUGCUUUCGAUACGGGUUGACUUGAGGAAGGUAGGGGAGAAUGGGAUUCCUGGUGGAGCGGUGGAAUGCGCAGAUAUCAGGAGGAACACCAGUGGCGAAGGCGGUUCUCUGGGCCUUUCCUGACGCUGAGGAGCGAAAGCGUGGGGAGCGAACAGGCUUAGAUACCCUGGUAGUCCACGCUGUAAACGGUGGGUACUAGGUGUGGGGUCCAUUCCACGGGUUCCGUGCCGUAGCUAACGCUUUAAGUACCCCGCCUGGGGAGUACGGCCGCAAGGCUAAAACUCAAAGGAAUUGACGGGGCCCCGCACAAGCGGCGGAGCAUGCGGAUUAAUUCGAUGCAACGCGUAGAACCUUACCUGGGUUUGACAUGGAUCGGGAGUGCUCAGAGAUGGGUGUGCCUCUUUUGGGGUCGGUUCACAGGUGGUGCAUGGCUGUCGUCAGCUCGUGCCGUGAGAUGUUGGGUUAAGUCCCGCAACGAGCGCAACCCUUGUUCACUGUUGCCAGCACGUUAUGGUGGGGACUCAGUGGAGACCGCCGGGGUCAACUCGGAGGAAGGUGGGGAUGACGUCAAGUCAUCAUGCCCCUUAUGUCCAGGGCUUCACGCAUGCUACAAUGGCUGGUACAGAGAGUGGCGAGCCUGUGAGGGUGAGCGAAUCUCGGAAAGCCGGUCUCAGUUCGGAUUGGGGUCUGCAACUCGACCUCAUGAAGUCGGAGUCGCUAGUAAUCGCAGAUCAGCAACGCUGCGGUGAAUACGUUCCCGGGGCU
rnacentral:rRNA from 1 species